rnacentral:rRNA from 1 species
ACUGGGUCUAAUACCGGAUAUGACCAUUGAAUGCAUGUUCGAUGGUGGAAAGUUUUUCGGCUGGGGAUGGACUCGCGGUCUAUCAGCUUGUUGGUGGGGUGAUGGCCUACCAAGGCGACGACGGAUAGCCGGCCUGAGAGGGUGACCGGCCACACUGGCACUGAAACACGGGCCAGACUCCUACGGGAGGCAGCAGUGGGGAAUAUUGCGCAAUGGGCGAAAGCCUGACGCAGCGACGCCGCGUGGGGGAUGAAGGCCUUCGGGUUGUAAAGCUCUUUCGGCAGGGACGAUAAUGACGGUACCUGAAGAAGAAGCUGCGGCUAACUACGUGCCAGCAGCCGCGGUAACACGUAGGCAGCGAGCGUUGUUCGGAAUUACUGGGCGUAAAGAGUGUGUAGGCGGUGCUCUAAGUUCGGUGUGAAAUCUCCCGGCUCAACUGGGAGGGUGCGCCGGAAACUGGAG